rnacentral:rRNA from 1 species
UACGUAGGGUGCAAGCGUUAAUCGGAAUUACUGGGCGUAAAGCGUGCGCAGGCGGUUAUGUAAGACAGUUGUGAAAUCCCCGGGCUCAACCUGGGAACUGCAUCUGUGACUGCAUAGCUAGAGUACGGUAGAGGGGGAUGGAAUUCCGCGUGUAGCAGUGAAAUGCGUAGAUAUGCGGAGGAACACCGAUGGCGAAGGCAGCCCCCUGGGAUGUGACUGACGCCCAUGUACGAAAGCGUGGGGAGCAAACAGG